rnacentral:rRNA from 1 species
GAUGAACGCUAGCGGCAGGCUUAACACAUGCAAGUCGAACGGCAGCACAGGUAGCAAUACUGGGUGGCGAGUGGCGCACGGGUGCGUAACGCGUAUGCAACCUACCUCUAUCUGGGAGAUAGCCCGAAGAAAUUCGGAUUAAUACCCCAUAAUAUAUGUCUUUCGCAUGUUAGACAUAUUAAAGCUUUGGCGGAUAGAGAUGGGCAUGCGUGACAUUAGCUAGUUGGUAAGGUAACGGCUUACCAAGGCUACGAUGUCUAGGGGGUCUGAGAGGAUUAUCCCCCACACUGGUACUGAGACACGGACCAGACUCCUACGGGAGGCAGCAGUGAGGAAUAUUGGACAAUGGGCGAAAGCCUGAUCCAGCCAUGCCGCGUGCAGGAAGACGGCCCUAUGGGUUGUAAACUGCUUUUAUAUGGGAAUAAACCUCCGAACGUGUUCGGAGCUGAAGGUACCAUACGAAUAAGGAUCGGCU